GCGCCUGUGGCUCAACUGGAUAGAGCAUCUGACUUCGGAUCAGAGGGUUGGGGGUUCGAGUCCCUCCGGGCGCGC
rnacentral:tRNA from 1 species